AUUGAACGCUGGCGGCAGGCCUAACACAUGCAAGUCGAGCGGAUGAAGGGAGCUUGCUCCUGGAUUCAGCGGCGGACGGGCGAGUAAUUCCUAGGAAUCUGCCUGUCAGCUGGGGCUAACGUCCGGACACGGGCGCUAAUACCGCAUACGCCCUGAGGGCGAAAGUGGGGGAUCUUCGGAUCUCACGCUCUCAGAUGAGCCUACGUCGGAUUAGCUAGUUGGUGGGGUAAAGGCCUACCAAGGCAACGAUUCGUAGCUGGUCUGCGAGGCUGAUCAGUCAAAAUGGAACUGAGACAAGGGCCCGACUCCUACGGGGGGGAGCAGGUGGGAAUUAUUGGCAAUUGGGGGAAGCCUGAACCAAGCCAUGCGGGGUGGGUAAAGAGGGCCUCCGGUUGGUAAAGCACUUUAUGUGGGGAGAAAAGGAAGUAAGUUAAUACCUGGCUGUUUGACGGUACCCAACAGAAAAGCCACCGCCAACUUUGUU
rnacentral:rRNA from 1 species